GAUGAACGCUGACAGAAUGCUUAACACAUGCAAGUCAACUGUGGCGGACGGGUGAGUAACGCGUAAAGAACUUGCCUCACAGAUAGGGACAACAUUUGGAAACGAAUGCUAAUACCUGAUACUGUGAGAGAGCUUUGCGUCCCAUUAGCUAGUUGGAGAGGUAACGGCUCACCAAGGCGAUGAUGGGUAGCCGGCCUGAGAGGGUGAUGGGCCACUAGGGGACUGAAACACGGCACUGACUCCUACGUGAGGCAGCAGUGGGGAAUAUUGGACAAUGGACCAAAGUCUGAUCCAGCAAUUCUGUGUGCACGAUGAAGUUUUCGUAAUGUAAAGUGCUUUCAGUUGGGAAGCAGUACCAUCAGAAGAAGUGACGGCUAAAUACGUGCCAGCAGCCGCGGUAAUAC
rnacentral:rRNA from 1 species